rnacentral:rRNA from 1 species
UACGUAGGGUGCAAGCGUUGUCCGGAAUCAUUGGGCGUAAAGAGCGUGUAGGCGGCUCGAUUAGUCCGCUGUAAAAGUCCAGGGCUCAACCCUGGGAUGCCGGUGGAAACUGUCGGGCUAGAGUCCGGGAGAGGCGAGUGGAAUUCCUGGUGUAGCGGUGAAAUGCGCAGAUAUCAGGAGGAACACCGGUGGCGAAGGCGGGUCUCUGGACCGGUACUGACGCUGAUGCGCGAAAGCGUGGGGAGCAAACGGG